CCCGCUGAAUUUAAGCAUAUUACUAAGAGGAGGAAAAGAAACGAACAAGAUUCCCUCAGUUUCCCGCUGAAUUUAAGCAUAUUACCAAGCGGAGGAAAAGAAACUAACAAGAUUCCCUCAGUGACGGCGUGGACCUCUUGUCGGCGCGAUCUGAUCUGAAGACAGUGUACAGUUUGGAGUUUGACUGGGGAGGUACAUCUGUUUGUCCUGGUCCUGCUCUGAUUUUUGACUGAGUGCCGGCCAGCAAGUCCCUGCAAGAACGGCGCACUGCCCCCUCUAUAUUCAUGGGGUAAGAGAGGAUCGCAAGAGACGGAAUAAUGGAAGAAGACCUCGGUUCUAUUUUGUUGUUUUUUGGAACUGGAGGUAAUGAUUAAGAGGCACUGACGGGGGAAUUCUUAUUACGGUGUUAGAGGUGAAAUUCUUAGAUCGUCCUAAGACGAACUACUGCGAAAGUAUUUGCCAAGAAUGCUUUCAUUAAUAAAGAAUGAGAGUCUGAGAUAAGAUGACUAUCAGAUGCCGGUCGGCUCCCUAUCCNACCCGUCUUGAAACACGGA
rnacentral:rRNA from 1 species